CAGAAGAGAGCAGAGACCAAGGACCUCCCUCAUGCAAGGAAGCGGGACUUGAAGAGGAGAGCCAUGGACAGUCCUGAUGAGCCCAGCGGGAAGAAAAAGAGGGGAGAGAUAUGAAGAUGAAAGCUAGUCUUCAGUAAGCAAAGACUGCAAUAAAGUGAAAGAUCUUUGCUGAAGUCAUCAGAGAGACCUGUGCUCUGGUAUCGACCAGCAGCCUGACAGACCUGUCACACUCCACCAGGCAGGGAUUACAGUGACUGAGACUGGAAGAAAACAUGCCGGAAUUGUUUCUCCAGGAUGUCAAAUAUCUUCCAGUUUUCUGUCAUUUUGAAGCCUUAGAAACUUAGGAACUUAGUUCAGUUAUUUUUUUUAAUUGUCCAAUAAAACACUUGCAAGAA